rnacentral:rRNA from 1 species
AGCGAACGCUGGCGGCAGGCCUAACACAUGCAAGUCGAACGAAGUCUUCGGACUUAGUGGCGGACGGGUGAGUAACACGUGGGAACGUGCCUUUAGGUUCGGAAUAACUCAGGGAAACUUGUGCUAAUACCGAAUGUGCCCUUCGGGGGAAAGAUUUAUCGCCUUUAGAGCGGCCCGCGUCUGAUUAGCUAGUUGGUGGGGUAAUGGCCCACCAAGGCUACGGUCAGUAGCUGGUCUGAGAGGAUGACCAGCCACAUUGGGGCUGAGACACGGCCCAAACUCCUACGGGAGGCAGCAGUGGGGAAUCUUGGGCAAUGGGCGAAAGCCUGACGCAGCCAUGCCGCGUGGAUGAUGAAGGUCUUAGGAUUGUAAAAUCCUUUCACCGGUGAAGAUAAUGACUGUAGCCGGAGAAGAAGCCCCGGCUAACUUCGUGCCAGCCGCCGCAGUAAUAC